UUGCCUCGGUGUCUGCUUGUGCUUUUCCUUGUUUUUGCUGUCUAGACCUGUUCUAUGCGUUUUGCUAUGUCCUCUCUUUUCCUUUACACGUGUGUUCUAUGCGUUUUGCUAUGUCCUCUCUUUUCCUUUACACGUGUGUUCUAUGCGCUGGGUCUAUGGGUCCAUGUUUUUUCCCCUCUCAUGGUUGGCUGUGCUGUACAGUGAUCUCCCUAACCCUCCCUCUCACCGGGAUCUAGCGGCGGCACGGCCGAGGCGGAGCUGGGAGGAGCUCGGCUGGCGGCACCGUUGUCCUCCCUCUCAGCGUGGAUCCGGCGGCGGCGUGGCUCCCUCUCGGCGCAGAUCCGGCGGCGACACGGCCGAGGCGGACCUCGGGCGGCACGCAGCCUCGUCGGGAGGGGCUCGGGGCGGCGCUUGGAGGAGCUCGGCGGGCUGCACCGUCGUCCUUCCUCUCCGCGUGGAUCCGGUGGUGGCACGGCUCCCUCUCGACGCAGAUCCGGCAGCGGCGUUGCUGAGGCGUGCUUCGGGCGGCCGCGCGGCCUCGUCGUGGGGAGGAGCUCGGGCAGCGGCGCGACUUCGCCGGUAGGAGCUCGGAGCGACGGUGCGGCCCACAAAACGGUUGAACGGAAGACGGCAUGCGUGAGCACCGAGAACUGGUGUAUUGCAUCCGCCCUCAUGUAGAUGUUGUUGGAGAAGGGAUACGCUGCCAACGCUACUGUGGGCACAUUGAACGCCUUCUUCCCACUCUGGCACCAUGUUUCCCUUCAUUCAUCAAGUGGUGAUCAUGCACUGAUCUGCAUGUCCUAAUUGCAACAUUUUUUUUAUAUAUGCAAUAGUAGCAACCAUGAAAAUGAAAUGUAGUAGUUGGAAAUCGAUUAAUUCCAAAUAUUUGUUGCAGGUGGCUCCUGUUUGAGCAAAAGAAACACAUGGAUUCCAGAACAGGGUCCAUCCAAAGAAUCUUUAAAUCUCAAAUAUAUAUGUUCUCCCUGUUCAUCAUUUUUCAAGGUCACAUGUUGGAACUAGGAACAUGCAUGCAGUACAAUCUUUGGUCAUGGUAAACCAAAAGCAUAUAUUAUUUGGUCCCCACUUGUGUCACAAGAAUAAUAUGCCAAGUAGUACAAUCUUUGUCUAAAACAAAUUGGGGAGUGAUGCACACAUGCCUCUAAUAGAUAAGCAUGGCAGUUUUCAGAAUUUCGUUAGGAGAUGCAAUUGAAAUCCAAUAAUCCGUGUUGAAAACUAUCAAGGAGAGAAAACAAAAAAGGAAUAAGCAUAAUGCUUGUUUGGAGAAACAUUUAUUAGAAUUUUGUGAUGAAAAAUAAAGACUUCAAAAAGGAAACACUGGAUUAGUGGUUAAGAUCCCCCAUGCAUGGACCCCUACCCACUAUAACUUGCACUGAUUUAAGUUGUGAAUCAAAUGCAGUUGAUAAAAUAUGAUCAAGAAAAAUGGACCAAAACUCCAAUUAUUAUCCUUCCCCAGAUUAUAAUGCAUAAUAAACAUAGAACCCUUUUAUGAAGAAAGUUUAGCAAUCUCUUAAUGCUAAUUAAAAGUCUAUGAGAUAUGGUUUAAAAAGCAGUCUAAAGGAACUGCUUGGCAGGUAUUAAGAUACAGCACACAAUAAAUUGACUUUUGUGAGGUACUGCACUGAAACGUCUGAAGUUCUACGGUAACUCAGAUGUAAACUUUUGAUAACUUGUUGGUAGAGGCCAGCAACAAUGUGGAAAGCAAAUCAUGUGGGAUGUUUCACUCUCAAGACGAGUCAGUUCUGGUGGCUGGGAUGCACCCCAUUUCUAUCCAUUUGGUAGUGUGAAUCUCUUCUAGCAGACCAGUCAGCAUACGUUGUCUCCGCUGAAUUUGGCUUUCGCUUGUUUGAUGACUGUUCUUACAGAUAGAUCACAUUAAACCAUUAAAUCUCAAUGUAAAUAGUUCAUCAAUCUAAUAGGUUUAUUCCUACAACUCUUUCCAUCAGGUGGCGGCUUAACUGCUCAGUUAUCUAGGUCAGCUCCUGAAAAAUCCAAGGAAGUUAACACACGCAGUCGCAAUACUGCCUUACAAAUCCCGCUGAAACGACAGGAUACCUCUCACUAUCUGCUGUCCCAGUCGAUUCAGCGAAGAAUAUAGGGACCCAAUCAGAGAUGUAACUCUUGCAUCUUGACUGCAUGUCACCUCCUGGAAGGACAAAACAUUAUAGGCUUACACCAAGAAAGAAAUGCAUCAUCUGAAGACUGCCAGAAAGAGCUCACUACAAAGCUCUGAUGUUCUGAACAUUGUUGCUGGCCUUAUUUGCGUAGAACAAGCUUGCUAUAAUGCUAUCCCAUCCCCAGUCGUUGCUUUGGAGAAUGACCUGACCUUUGGUGGCCCCGGACCUUGGGUGGAGGACCGGACCCUGACCGGCUCUGAGUAGCUUCAUGUGGGAUGUACUAACCUAUAGGAGCGAGCAUGGUAGCAUCUUUCCCCGUAACCUAUAGCAGAUUUAGUAUCCACGAAUGUCUAAAUUGAAGAGAACAGGAGAAAUUGAGAACAAUGGUGUGAAAUUAGAUGAGUUUGUUCGAACAAAGCAGGUUAUGUAAGGCAAUAUGAUCUCCAUGCCGCUGUUAUGCUCGACCUCUUGGCAAGAUUUGAAGAUGUUAGCAACAGAGCAGAAUAAUGAAGAAAGUAAUUAAUGGGAGGAGGGGUUACCCCUGAUGGACUGAGAAGAAUAUAUGAAGGUAAAUACUAACAUCCUCCCUGCCCCGCAAACACAGGAAAUUGGUUCCAUUCCAAUAUCCAGCUCUAAAAACUGCCAGGUCAGAUUGCUAACGGGAAAUUGGUGGCGUGUAAGAUUCAGGUUUGAGCUGUUUGGCAAUCCGUAGGGUUGAUCAAGAUUUGAUGUUCGUUGGUUGUGCCUGGUGUUCAUUUGUGAUAUUGGAUGAAUUAUUCAAUUUUCGUUACUGAUUGGGAGAAUAUUGUAGGGCACAUGUUUAGAUUGUUUACUUCCUUUAUGGAAUCAAUCUUUGCCGAUUAUAAGAAUACUAGUAUGUAAUCAUGAUGGCCUGAAUUUGCCUAUAGCUUAGCAGACGAAGCAAGUUCAGAUAUUACCAUGAGAAUGCAAGUUCGAAUAAUCUGUGCCUUUCAUUUCUGCAUGAAAGAGAAUGUUAUCUAGGCUAUGAUAUAUUCCUGUAGCUUGGCAGAUGAAGCGUCACAAAAUAAUCCCUGAGGGCUAUCGAUGAAUGCUAGUCAUGCAAGUCAUUCUUUGGAUUAAGGAUAAUCGGGGAACUAACAUAGGCCACAAGACAAGCACCUUACAUUCCUUUUUUUCACAACAAUUACAUGUAAAUCCUACCAAUAAUAGGCUGACUUUUGAUGGCCAACCACUAUUACA